UCCACUUUGCAACCAUCUACCUAAGCUUCCAAACUCGUAGAUGGGAAGGAAACUUGUUUACUCUGCUUCAACAUUUCUACUAACAAAGUGGAAAACAAGAUCUGUGGACCUCUUUAGUGUCUUUCUUAAGCUACUCACAUAUUCCCCUGGAUCUCUGGCCUCAUCCAUGCAAGGAGUCCCUCCAUUGAGAUCCCCUUCAAUCAGUCACGCUUACCAAGCACCUACUAUGGAACACGCAGGCACUGUGCUCCACACCAGAGACAUGAAGACAAAAGUGAAAAAGGCCCUGCCCUCAAGGAGCUUCCUUCCUCAAGGAGGAGACAACAGGCCCAUAUAGAAGUAUAUACCAACACAUACAAAAGAAACCCAAGGCAAUUUGGGAGCCAUCCGUGUCCUGUGGAGACAAAGGUCAGGAAGACGGUGUUGACCCAGGAUGAAAUGGACGACCGUGGCGUCUCUGAUGCCUGACCGAACUCCAGAUGCUUCACCGAGCCUGCGUGGGCCGUCUCACCCGCCCAUUCCUGGAGGGGACAUCUUCAGUGCUUGGGGUGGACACAUCCUCACUCACCAGUGGGCUUAAGGCCUCUUGGCUACCUCCACCGGGUUUAGCCUGGCUGUCAAAACUGUUCUGCUUGGGUGUGCUUCUGCACAUGCUGCAGUUUCUGGGAGCCACAGGGGAGAGUUGGGUGAAUUGGGUGGACACCAGAGGUAGAUGAGCACCCUGGAAAGGGCUUGGCAGCCUCACACCAGAGAGGCCAGUCCUCCCAGAACACCCCAACAGCAAUAAAUAAUAUUAUAUGAUACAU